AAGCAAAGCAAUGAAAUUGACACUUAGAAUUCACUUUUGAAUGCAAAAAACAACUUUUAAACUCAAAGGGGAAAUUCAUGCAACACUGAGGGUCAAAUUCAAUGUUUUGGACCCUUUCUUCAACAACCAACACCUUAGAGCUCAUUUUCAUGCUCUUUCAACUCUUUUUCACACUUUUCACAAUUUUUUUUUUUUUUCUUUCUUCUUUUUCUUUUCUACCCCAUGCCUCAUUUAAGACUUUGGCACACAAUACACCAGGCUCACUUUCCCCCACACUUGUUUUCUGCACACCCUUGAUCAAAAGGAAUUCAUUUUAAGUCAUGCUUACUAUGCUUCAAGAACAAGGGUAUGGAUGGUCCUAAUCUAGGCUAGGUAAGGAUAAUGUGGGUUAACAAACAAUAUAGGCUAAACAAGGCUCAACGGGUUUAAACCUACAAAAACAAAUGUAUGGAAUGAAGGCUUUUUGGCUAUGGUGGUAACUACUAAACAACUUUAUCUUGAAUAUGUGUUAUGCAAUUCAAUAACAUGUUUUGAAUGAAAUUGGCAUGAGUUCUAGCAUUUGGAACUAAAUGAUGAAACGCCUUCUAAGUAGUAACCAAGCAAAGAAUAAUGAGAUCAUGCAACGACUUUAGAAAACAAGAAUGCACAGAUUUUAACUCUCCAAAUAAAGUUUUAGGCUCAAGUCUCUCAGGGUUGUAGCUUUAGUUUGAGUUUCUUCCUUCAAGCAUGUCACAAAAACUGAUUUUUUUCCUUUUUGAUUACAUGUGAAUUCAUAAGUUAUAACUACAACUAAGCAUAAACCAAGAGUAAAUCAAACUUCCAUCCAUGUUUAUAACUCUCUUCAAUAGUCAUGCAAUUAAAAACCGAAUCCUCAUCAUUGUGUUGGAAGGUACCCUAAGACACAAACAAACACACAAAAACAACUUAAAAACGACUCUUUUUGGGUUUUUUUUUUAAAACAAAUUUUCAAAUUUUUAUGGGAUUUUCGGAUUUUUGAAUCAAAACACAUUAAAACACACCAAAACAGCCUAAAAACACCUAAAAACAGCAAGAAACAACAUUGGAAAUUAUGAGUGAGAAAACCCUACGAAUUUGCAUCAAAACACUUUGGUUACCCCCCCACACUUAAACCAAACAUUGUCCUCAAUGUUUCAAGCAUAGACUCACACAAAAACACAUAAACAAACAAACCAACACUAACAAACUAAACAUGGCAGAAACGAAAGAAACAACAAAGAUAAGGGUUUAGAAACGCAAAUCUGGAAUUGGAGUGCUCUCUAGGUCUUCCUUUGUCAAAUGCAUGGGUUGCCUCCCACAAAGCGCUUGCUUUAACGUCUUCCAGCCGGACGGUACCUCCAUUUAAGCUUAACUAGGUUCCAUGGCAUGGAGGGGUACAUCCUUCAUGACAUGCUCCUUGAAAUACUCAUGCAUUGGGUCUAUGUAUGGCAGUGGAUAAUGAUGGUCCCAGAUUGUGGCAUAAAUAGAGUAUGGCAUAACAUUAAUCGAAGCCCCUAAGUCUAACAUGCAUUGUUCAAACUUAGUCUU
rnacentral:lncRNA from 1 species